CUCUGGGCCUGAGGAACUUCAGACAGAAGCUCUUUAUUCAGUGCUAUAGCUCCUCAACUACCUCUGCAUAACAGAGUAUAAUCUUCUGCAGCACCCCUCCACCAGACUGCCUGCCUCAGAUGCUAGCCCACUUAAAGAUACAAUUCCCAGUACCACACACUUUUCCCAGGGUCAAGGCCACAGAUAACCAGACCUCCACAGAAGGGGCCCCCUGUGUCUGUGGGGAAACACAAACAGAUCCUGCCCUCUAGUACCAGGAAGCAACCAAAUCUAUGUAAAACCCCAUGCUGGGGGACUGCCCCCUGCUCAGUGAGACAGAGAUGGGGAUGUGCAUAGUCUGGUGUGCAGCCAUGUAUCUCUUGGGAGCAAGCCAAACCGAUGCUAAAAUAACCCAAACACCGAGUCUGCUGCUGGAGAGAGGACAGACUGCCUAUCUCAGAUGUCAGCAAACCUAUGGGCAUGACAACAUGUUCUGGUACCGGCAGGAUCCAGGGCAGGGACUGCAGCUGCUCUUUAACUUCUACUAUAAAAAAGAAAGCGAGAAAGGCACAAAUUCUAGUCAUUUCCAGGCCGACCAGCCGCAGGAUGAUCUCUUUCGUUUGAACAUCUCGUCUGUGCAGCCAGAGCACUCGGCUGUGUAUUUCUGCGCCAGCAGCUUAGACACAGCGCUUCAGAGUCACCUCCUCCCUCUACAAAAACCUCAUCUGUUCUUUGUCUCUCUGCAGCCCCACCACAGGGACAGCAACAAGGCACGUUCUCUGUGA